rnacentral:lncRNA from 1 species
AGGGGUGCUGUUAUUGUCAUCGUCGCUCUCAGCACCAGGAUGUGGUGGAGAUGGAGACCUUGAUAUAGAUGGAAGGGACGGUCCUGGAGCAGGAGAUGAUGGUCUCGAGGUAUGAGGAGAAGGUCGCUGCUGGGGAUCUACGGGGAGCGGUCUUGAGGCCUUAGGAGAUGGCUCCGUGCCGGGAAUAAUGAUGUAGCGUUUUUGCCAUAGAAUGAUCCCAUGAAGCGCAUCUGCC